rnacentral:rRNA from 1 species
UACGUAGGUGGCGAGCGUUGUCCGGAUUUACUGGGCGUAAAGCGCACGCAGGCGGUUCGCCAAGUUUGGAGUGACAGUUGUCGGCUCAACCGACAAAGGACUUCAAAAACUGGUGAACUUGAGGACGAGAGAGGAACAUGGAACUCCAGGUGUAGUAGUGAAAUGCGUAGAUAUCUGGAAGAACACCAAUGGCGAAGGCAAUGUUCUGGCUCGUUUCUGACGCUCAGGUGCGAAAGCCAGGGGAGCGAACGGG